GCUUAUAUUUCAGCGUUUAAUCAAGGACAUUCAUUUUCUAUAAAACAUCCAAUUGCAUUAAGACAUUAUAUCUCAUUUGACUUACACAUUCAGAGUAAAUAAGGACAACAUCAUAUACAUGAAAACAUCAAACGAGCGAAAGAAAGCCGUGACUCUUACUGUUAAAAAAAUCGUUAAAGCAACAGAAAUCUUUAGGGUUUGAGGUUUACACUGAUAAUUAUUAUCGCCUUCUUUCCAGACCAAACUUAAAACGUUAGUGUAGUUUAAGUGUAAAACAAAAUUAGAAAAUGUUACAAAUAAAUUAUAUUAAUAGUUGGCUAAAUAAUAAUAAUAAUAAUAAUAGUAAAAAUAAUAAUACAUAAAAAAUAAAUGUGCGCGUUUAAAGCGUAAUUUGAUAAUCCCACCAGCAAAUCUAUUAAACCUAUCUGGUUAAAGAUGCAAAAUUAUCGGUGAUAUUUUUUUAUUGAUAAUGAACAAGAGCAUGCAAUAUCAAGCUCCUCCGGAUUGAAAACUAAAGUUAAUUUUAAGUCACCUGUCUUUGGUUUGCUUUUUAAAACAUUUAUUUUAUCUUGUCGAUUUUUCAAAUUGCUACAUUUCACAUUGUUGCGGGUAAAAUUGGAAUUAAAGCUAAUUAAAAAUUACCCGCCUCGGGCCUAUAAAAGAUCUCUUAUGUAGUCUACGUAAAAUCAGUAAAGUCAAAGCAGGGUUGGAAAAUCCAUUUGUUAAUAUGCUUUACAGUAGGACGUGGUCAUCAUGCAUUUUUAGUUAUCAGUUGACUACGUUUUUAUUAAGAUGAAGCUUUGAAAUACUAAAUUACAACAUGCACUUUAAUACGUUUUUUGGCUGUAUUUUAAACGCGUGUAAGGUUCAUUACUACAUAAUAACGACUACACUUGUAAAGAGUUGCGAAUUGGGGCUAUAACCCGCAGAUAAAAGCAUUUCAAAACAGAAAAGAACCGUCUGAAGUGUCUUAUUGUUUACCAACACAUGGCAUUGCUUUAUUAAAAGUGUUGGUUUGCGGAAAGAACAUCGGAGUAUCAACUUUGUUUCAAUUAGUUUUUUUUAUCUGCACAAAAUGCUGGAUAUAAAUGAGAAUUUAAAAAAACUAUUAGGAAACAUCACUGAAAAUGAUGAUAACCAAGGUUGAUGUAGUAAAUUACGGGCUUUAACAAAGGAUUUUGUUCAAUAACCCAAAUACUUGGAAUAACAGUGUGGUUAGCUGGAUUUCAUUUCCCAAUUAUUUAAACUUUCUAUGUGCCUUAUGUAUAUAAUUUAAAGAAAGUGAACAUUUCAUUGGCUUCAUUACUUUGCUUUUGAGAGAGGAUUGUAGUCUUGUUGAAUUAUAUUGACAAAAGUUUAAGGAGAGGGGGUAAAAAUUAAAUAUAAGUGUGAUGUCAAUACUGUCAAUUUAAACGUUCUCCUUACGAAAUAGUCGCACUUUUUAAAUACUUCGGGGGUUUUUUUUCUGCUUAAGUUUGAGCAUUGCACCACUAGAUGUCGCCGCGUGUAACAGAAAUGCAUCCCAACAGCUCAAAUUUAAUUUCUCACCUCGUGUCUAAAGAAUGAAUGGCUGAGGCAAUAUUUAGAAACGGCUUGAAAUAUUUUUGAAUAUAAUUAAAUAUAUAAAUGACGUGUAAAGAAAUUAGGAAAUAACCAGUGAUUAUGAUGUUAUAUGCCAUCUAUGGUAAGGAUGAAAAAGUGAUCAAACUGUUUUAAAAAUGGGAAGCAAUGGAAAACUUACACGUUUUACGGUUUCUGAAAUAUUUGUAAAUUACCACCGUCGUUAUUAAUUAUUAUUUUUUUUUUUUUUUGUAUUUCCCGUGGUUUUCCCUACAUUGUUCCACAAAGCUCAACAAUAAACAGAAAACGUAACUUUGUAUUGAACUACCUGGAAAUCAUCCUCUCUAUCUUCCUGUCUAUCCAUAUCUCCCUCUUUCUAUCACGUUUAACUGAUCGACAAGUCUCUCCAUUUCCUUUGAAGCCGAUGUUUCAUAUAAUAGUAGUGAUGUUAAUAAUUUUGAAAAGAACGACAAAUGAAAGAAAACUAGAUGAGCCUUGUUUACACGCUGAUUUAUAUUUCUUGUUCCCAUUGUUUUUACGCAUAGGGCUGGAUAUUAUUAAGAUAACAUUAAGAUAAAUUGUUAGCCUACCUGUAUUCUCCACUUAGUCUGUAGCCUAUUCAUGCGUAUAUGAUUGGAUAAUAAUGAUGCACUCACUAUCGUCUUUUAAUUAUUUUAAAUUAUUGGGAAGUAAAUUAUUUUAGGCUACUACAACAAUCUUUAAAAUAUUUUACGUUUAAACUAGUGUGUGCUGACGACAUGCAGAAUAGAUUAAAAAGUGUGGUAUGUUGGCUAAAAUGUGUAAACAUCUUUAUCAAUUUUUUUUUUCUAUUUUAUGGACCUCAUAAACAAUCUAAAAGUUAUUGACACAUUUCAUUUUGAUUAGGCUCUCUGGGUGUUGCCACGAAUGCCUUUAACUCCUGCUAAGUCGAAAUCUGUUUAAGUAUAAACUUUUUAUUUAAUGUCAUAAGACUACAUAUUUUCUUACUUGGUCCAGAGAAAUAAACAGAUGCUUGAAAUUUUAUCCAGAAAUGACUUAGGGCAAAAAAGAUAAGAUUUGAAAUAAUAAAUCGUUUUUUGUUCUCCAGUUACAGCAGACAACAAAGAAGUUUGUGUUAUCGCUUAAGACGUUCGUUGUCUGGUUCAUAGGAGCUGUGGGAAAGUUGGAAAUCCUUUUCUUUAUAGGUUUUAAAUAUGCAUAAGUAUGGUAAUCGCGGUCCUGCUGUGUUGCAAACAGGCGCAGCAGAUCACACACAUGUGCUCCACAACUUCGGACCGCAUGAAGUCGCCAAGAUGAGGACAUACAAGUAAGUCCUAUUUCUCUCACUGACGUCUUCUCUCAUAAAGAGAUAUAACAGGGCUGUCUGAAGUUUGUUUAAGGCGGAAAGCAUGCGAGCACAGGACAGCACGUGUGUUGACCCGUUGGGAGUAAAUCUUUACGUGUGCCCGUCUGACCACUUCUAUUGGGUGCCAGAUCAGUUGAGCAAAGGUUCUCAAGAUGAAGAUCAGACAUUUUAUAGGAACUAUGAAGGAGAGAUGCGCAAAAAAGUUGUGGAAGAGUCACGUCUCCAAUGUGAACGCAGUUGUUUUAAUAGGAAACGGAUAUUAGGCCUAAUGAUGACUUUAGCGGGCUGAAGAGAAACGUGACCAUUAACCACAGAGCAGAUGAAAACUGAUACCAAUGUUCUCAAAAGAUGAGUGAUGUUUCGGAGGUGCUGCGUUGUUCUUUGAUGUGAGGAAGGAAGGUUGAGAAAGAGAAAGCUGUCCAGCACAAGCCACCCUCAUUAGUGUCCAGCGCCCGAAGACACAGGUCACAAAACCCAAUGAACUGGCCAUUUGAUUCAGCUCUGCAGACACUCAGCCCUAAUGCUGCGGUCCGCUCUGACAGCACAUCAUACGCAACACUCAAAGCAGCUUGAAUAACCCUUGGACCGCAUACGGAGUGCAUUAUUUUUUAUGACGAAACCGCUAUAGGGUCCAACUUCUCAACCUGCUUGUAGAUUACAUUCAUUCAAUAAAUUGUGCAUUUUUGAUUUUCUCAACAAAAAAAACGGAA